GGUUUGUGGCUCAGUGGUAGAGUGCUUGCCUAGAACAUCUGAGGCACUGGGUUCGAUCCUCAGCACCA
rnacentral:tRNA from 1 species